rnacentral:rRNA from 1 species
CCGGCCACAUUGGGACUGAGAUACGGCCCAGACUCCUACGGGAGGCAGCAGUGGGGAAUAUUGCACAAUGGGCGCAAGCCUGAUGCAGCGACGCCGCGCGCGGGAUGACGGCCUUCGGGUUGUAAACCGCUUUUGACUGGGAGCAAGCCCUUCGGGGUGAGUGUACCUUUCGAAUAAGCACCGGCUAACUACGUGCCAGCAGCCGCGGUAAUACGUAGGGUGCAAGCGUUAUCCGGAAUUAUUGGGCGUAAAGGGCUCGUAGGCGGUUCGUCGCGUCCGGUGUGAAAGUCCAUCGCUUAACGGUGGAUCCGCGCCGGGUACGGGCGGGCUUGAGUGCGGUAGGGGAGACUGGAAUUCCCGGUGUAACGGUGGAAUGUGUAGAUAUCGGGAAGAACACCAAUGGCGAAGGCAGGUCUCUGGGCCGUCACUGACGCUGAGGAGCGAAAGCGUGGGGAGCGAACAGGAUUAGAUACCCUGGUAGUCCACGCCGUAAACGGUGGAUGCUGGAUGUGGGGACCAUUCCACGGUCUCCGUGUCGGAGCCAACGCGUUAAGCAUCCCGCCUGGGGAGUACGGCCGCAAGGCUAAAACUCAAAGAAAUUGACGGGGGCCCGCACAAGCGGCGGAGCAUGCGGAUUAAUUCGAUGCAACGCGAAGAACCUUACCUGGGCUUGACAUGUUCCCGACAGCCCCAGAGAUGGGGCCUCCCUUCGGGGCGGGUUCACAGGUGGUGCAUGGUCGUCGUCAGCUCGUGUCGUGAGAUGUUGGGUUAAGUCCCGCAACGAGCGCAACCCUCGCCCUGUGUUGCCAGCACGUCGUGGUGGGAACUCACGGGGGACCGCCGGGGUCAACUCGGAGGAAGGUGGGGAUGACGUCAGAUCAUCAUGCCCCUUACGUCCAGGGCUUCACGCAUGCUACAAUGGCCGGUACAACGGGAUGCGACCUCGUGAGGGGGAGCGGAUCCCUUAAAACCGGUCUCAGUUCGGAUCGGAGUCUGCAACCCGACUCCAUGAAGGCGGAGUCGCUAGUAAUCGCGGAUCAGCAACGCCGCGGUGAAUGCGUUCCCGGGCCUUGUACACACCGCCCGUCAAGUCAUGAAAGUGGGUAGCACCCGAAGCCGGUGGCCCAACCUUUUGGGGGGAGCCGUCGAAGGUGAGACUCGUGAUUGGGACUAAGUCGUAACAAGGUAGCCGUACCGGAAGGUGCGGCUG